rnacentral:rRNA from 1 species
GAUCGGCCCGCGUCUGAUUAGCUAGUUGGUGAGGUAACGGCUCACCAAGGCGACGAUCAGUAGCUGGUCUGAGAGGAUGAUCAGCCACAUUGGGACUGAGACACGGCCCAAACUCCUACGGGAGGCAGCAGUGGGGAAUAUUGGACAAUGGGCGCAAGCCUGAUCCAGCCAUGCCGCGUGAGUGAUGAAGGCCCUAGGGUUGUAAAGCUCUUUUGUGCGGGAAGAUAAUGACGGUACCGCAAGAAUAAGCCCCGGCUAACUUCGUGCCAGCAGCCGCGGUAAUACGAAGGGGGCUAGCGUUGCUCGGAAUCACUGGGCGUAAAGGGUGCGUAGGCGGGUCUUUAAGUCAGGGGUGAAAUCCUGGAGCUCAACUCCAGAACUGCCUUUGAUACUGAAGAUCUUGGGUUCGGGAGAGGUGAGUGGAACUGCGAGUGUAGAGGUGAAAUUCGUAGAUAUUCGCAAGAACACCAGUGGCGAAAGCGGCUCACUGGCCCGAUACUGACGCUGAGGCACGAAAGCGUGGGGAGCAAACAGGAUUAGAUACCCUGGUAGUCCACGCCCUAAACGAUGUGUGCUGGGCGUCGGGGGGCUUGCCCCUUGGUGCCCGAAGCCAAGCGGUAAGCACACCGCCUGUGGAGUA